rnacentral:rRNA from 1 species
GAUGAACGCUGACAGAAUGCUUAACACAUGCAAGUCAACUUGAACUUCGGUUUGGGUGGCGGACGGGUGAGUAACGCGUAAAGAACUUGCCUCACAGAUAGGGACAACAUUUGGAAACGAAUGCUAAUACCUGAUAUUAUGAUUUUAGGGCAUCCUAGAAUUAUGAAAGCUAUAUGCGCUGUGAGAGAGCUUUGCGUCCCAUUAGCUAGUUGGAGAGGUAACGGCUCACCAAGGCGAUGAUGGGUAGCCGGCCUGAGAGGGUGAUCGGCCACAAGGGGACUGAGACACGGCCCUUACUCCUACGGGAGGCAGCAGUGGGGAAUAUUGGACAAUGGACCAAGAGUCUGAUCCAGCAAUUCUGUGUGCACGAUGAAGUUUUUCGGAAUGUAAAGUGCUUUCGGUUGGGAAGAAAAAAAUGACGGUACCAACAGGAGAAGUGACGGUA